AGGACGAACGCUGGCGGCGUGCUUAACACAUGCAAGUCGAGCGGUAAGGCCUUUCGGGGUACACGAGCGGCGAACGGGUGAGUAACACGUGGGUGAUCUGCCCUGCACUCUGGGAUAAGCCUGGGAAACUGGGUCUAAUACCGGAUAUGACCUGCUCUCGCAUGGGGGGUGGGUGGAAAGAUUUAUCGGUGCAGGAUGGGCCCGCGGCCUAUCAGCUUGUUGGUGGGGUAAUGGCCUACCAAGGCGACGACGGGUAGCCGACCUGAGAGGGUGACCGGCCACACUGGGACUGAGACACGGCCCAGACUCCUACGGGAGGCAGCAGUGGGGAAUAUUGCACAAUGGGCGAAAGCCUGAUGCAGCGACGCCGCGUGAGGAUGAAGGCCUUCGGGUUAGUAAACCUCUUUCAGCAGGACGAAGCGCAAGUGACGGUACCUGCAGAAGAAGCACCGACUAACUACGUGCCAGCAGCCGAC
rnacentral:rRNA from 1 species